rnacentral:rRNA from 1 species
GUUUGAUCCUGGCUCAGGAUGAACGCUAGCUACAGGCUUAACACAUGCAAGUCGAGGGGAAACGAUAUUGAAAGCUUGCUUUCGAUAGGCGUCGACCGGCGCACGGGUGAGUAACGCGUAUCCAACCUGCCCAUAACUAAGGGAUAAUCCGUAGAAAUGCGGUCUAAUACCUUAUGUGAUCCGAGGAAGACAUCUGAUUUGGAUUAAAGAUUUAUCGGUUAUGGAUGGGGAUGCGUCUGAUUAGAUUGUUGGCGGGGCAACGGCCCACCAAGUCUGCGAUCAGUAGGGGUUCUGAGAGGAAGGUCCCCCACAUUGGAACUGAGACACGGUCCAAACUCCUACGGGAGGCAGCAGUGAGGAAUAUUGGUCAAUGGGCGGGAGCCUGAACCAGCCAAGUAGCGUGCAGGAUGACGGCCCUAUGGGUUGUAAACUGCUUUUGUAUGGGGAUAAAUUGCUCCACGUGUGGAGUAUUGCAGGUACCAUACGAAUAAGGACCGGCUAAUUCCGUGCCAGCAGCCGCGGUAAUACGGAAGGUCCGGGCGUUAUCCGGAUUUAUUGGGUUUAAAGGGAGCGUAGGCCGUGGNUUAAGUGUGUUGUGAAAUGUAGGCGCUCAACGUCUGACUUGCAGCGCAUACUGGUCCACUAGAGUGCGCGCAACGNGGGCGGAAUUUGUCGUGUAGCGGNGAAAUGCUUAGAUAUGACGAAGAACCCCGAUUGC